rnacentral:rRNA from 1 species
AGAGUUUGAUCAUGGCUCAGAUUGAACGCUGGCGGUAUGCCUUACACAUGCAAGUCGAACGGUAGAGGGGCAACCCUUGAGAGUGGCGAACGGGUGAGUAAUACAUCGGAACGUGCCCAGUCGUGGGGGAUAACGUAGCGAAAGCUACGCUAAUACCGCAUACGACCCGAGGGUGAAAGCGGGGGACUCGCAAGAGCCUCGCGCGAUUGGAGCGGCCGAUGGCAGAUUAGGUAGUUGGUGGGGUAAAGGCCCACCAAGCCUGCGAUCUGUAGCUGGUCUGAGAGGACGACCAGCCACACUGGGACUGAGACACGGCCCAGACUCCUACGGGAGGCAGCAGUGGGGAAUUUUGGACAAUGGGCGAAAGCCUGAUCCAGCCAUACCGCGUGCGGGAAGAAGGCCUUCGGGUUGUAAACCGCUUUUGUCAGGGAAGAAAUCCUUUGGGUUAAUACCUCGGAGGGAUGACGGUACCGAAGAAUAGCC